UUUUUUUUUUUUUUUUUUUCUGACUUGAGUGUGUUUCUCCUUUUUUGCCUAUUUCAUAAAUGGGGAUUAUCAUUAUCAGACAAUAUUAUUUAGGUAAAUUUUCAUUUCUGAGAUUAUACAUGAGUAUGGGAUAAAGAAUCUUUUAUCCUCUAACUCUUCUCUGUGUAUUCCAUGGGAACUUGGUUUUCUUGAAUUUCUGUCAUCUAUCUGAAUGGACUAAUUUUCAUGAAUUUG
rnacentral:misc_RNA from 1 species